GAUGAACGCUAGCUACAGGCUUAACACAUGCAAGUCGAGGGGAAACGACAUCGAAAGCUUGCUUUUGAUGGGCGUCGACCGGCGCACGGGUGAGUAACGCGUAUCCAACCUGCCCAUCACUUGGGAAUAACCUUGCGAAAGUAAGACUAAUACCCAAUGACAUCCCACGAAGACAUCUGAAUGGGAUUAAAGAUUUAUCGGUGAUGGAUGGGGAUGCGUCUGAUUAGCUUGUUGGCGGGGUAACGGCCCACCAAGGCAACGAUCAGUAGGGGUUCUGAGAGGAAGGUCCCCCACAUUGGAACUGAGACACGGUCCAAACUCCUACGGGAGGCAGCAGUGAGGAAUAUUGGUCAAUGGGCGAGAGCCUGAACCAGCCAAGUAGCGUGCAGGAUGACGGCCCUAUGGGUUGUAAACUGCUUUUAUAAGGGAAUAAAGUGGGUCUCGUGAGACUUUUUGCAUGUACCUUAUGGAUAAGGACCGGCUAAUUCCGUG
rnacentral:rRNA from 1 species